rnacentral:rRNA from 1 species
UACGAAGGGGGCGAGCGUUGUUCGGAGUUACUGGGCGUAAAGGGCGCGUAGGCGGCCGAUCAAGUUAGGCGUGAAAGCCCCGGGCUUAACCUGGGAAUUGCGCUUAAGACUGAUUGGCUUGAGUGCGGGAGAGGUGAGUGGAAUUCCCAGUGUAGAGGUGAAAUUCGUAGAUAUUGGGAAGAACACCAGUGGCGAAGGCGGCUCACUGGCCCGCAACUGACGCUGAGGCGCGAAAGCUGGGGGAGCGAACAGG